AAAAAAAAAAAAAAAAAAAAAAAAAGAAGAAGAAAAAGGAAAAAGAAAAAUUCGAGGUGAGAAAAUUUCGAAAAAUAGAUACUCUAGAGGGAGCUUAUUAUUAUUAUUUCUGUUGCAGAAAGAGACAUAGACUCAAACAAGAAGAAGCUGAAAAACGAAGAUAGAUUGAAAUCAGAUGGGGCGACCUCCACAUGGCGGAGGCCCUGCCUUCCGUUUCACCCCCACCGAGGUGGUGGAGAUGGAAGCAGCUCUGCAAGAAACUGAUAGUGCAAUACCUGCCCGUGAAGUCAUCUGCUCUCUUGCAGAUAAAUUCAGUGCGUCUGAAGACCGAGCAGGAAAGAUUGUUGUGCAACCGAAGCAGGUGUUGAAUUGGUUCCAAAAUAGGAGGUACGCACAAAGGGUAAAAAUGAGUAAGGCUCCAGGAAAGCUAAAUGUCUCACCCAUGAUUCGGGACGAAUCAGUUCCAUCGAGAAAUGUGCCUAUUCCAGUUCCCGUUCCUUCAGGAGGCACCCAGAUGGAGUUUGAAGCCAAAUCAGCUAGGGAUGGGGCAUGGUAUGAUGUUUCAACCUUUAUUUCUCACAGGAUGUUUGAGACAAGCGACCCGGAAGUUCGGGUUCGGUUUUCAGGAUUUGGCGCAGAGGAGGAUGAGUGGAUUAAUGUGCGCAAGUGUGUGAGACAGCGGUCUCUGCCAUGUGAAGCCACGGAAUGUGCUGCCGUAGUUCCUGGAGACCUUAUACUCUGUUUUCAGGAAGGUAAAGAGCAGGCAUUGUACUUUGAUGCUCAUGUCCUUGAUGCUCAAAGACGAAGGCAUGAUGUACGGGGUUGUCGUUGUAGGUUCCUAGUUCGUUAUGACCAUGAUCAGUCUGAGGAAAUAGUACCACUAAGAAAAAUCUGUCGUCGGCCUGAAACUGAUUAUCGGUUGCAACGACUGCAUGCAUCCAAGGAUUCAGCAUCUGUGGGGCAACAGAACAUGAUGAAAGAUCCUUCUUUGGUAAGCUCUUCCAGUGAUUUCAAUUCGGCAGGCCUGAAGACCCGAAGGCAACGCAAAGUGGAAGGCAGUACAAUGGGCGAUACAGGUACUACAACUUCAGUUCCUCUUACAAAUGAGACUGCAAAUGUGGAAACUACUAUGACAAUGAAGGUUGAAAAUAACAAAGCACUACCAGAUACCUGCACCAGCAAUGUUACAUUGUCCAUUGCCAGUGGUGAAAAUGUGCAAGAAACAUAGUCAGGUGUGCAAGGUCCAAGUUGCUCAUCAGGAGGACCCCUUCGUGUAGAUCCCAUGGCCCAAAAAUCAGGUUUGUCUGCUCCUCAGGGCAUAUUCACAAUGGUGGCCACUUGGUGAGCAGUUUGGAUCCUGCGCAAGUUGGCACACAUGAGCUGCAAGUUUAUUGGAAGAUGCAAUCACACAAGUUCUUUUAUCAGGGCUGAAAUAGUUCACAAUGAGAAGUACAUUUUUAUUACAGACUGGAAUUUUUAAAUUUUCAAAAGAAAUACUUCAACCAUAUUCAUUUUUUUUUCUUUUUUCCUUUUUGGUAUUUGUAUCUCUUAUCUGUAUUCACAUUAUUAGACUCAAGGUAAUUUUGGAAUAUUGCCUUUUAAAUAUGUGAAAAAGGACCGAUCUUGGUUGCA